UACAGAGGUCUCAAGCGUUGUUCGGAAUCACUGGGCGUAAAGGGUGCGUAGGCCGCACGGUAAGUCAGAGGUGAAAUCCCGGAGCUCAACUCCGGAAUGGCCUCCGAUACUGCCGUGCUCGAGGACUGGAGAGGAGUCUGGAAUUCACAGUGGAGCAGUGAAAUGCGUGGAUAUUGUGAGGAACACUAGUGGCGAAGGCGGCAUCCUGGACCGGCAUUGACGCUGAGGCGCGAAAGCUAGGGGAGCAAACGGG
rnacentral:rRNA from 1 species